CCCUUCGCUCCGUACCCUGCCGACUGCCUUCCACGCCGCAACCCCUCUGUAAUCUUAUCGUGAUGGCAGCGACAGCGGCGACCACGAGGAACAACACCCCAGCUUUCUCCCUUUGCAUCGUUGCGGAUCAGUACCGUGGGCACCACGCACUAUGAGCGCACCACCGUGCCAGUGUGGCGUCGUUUCGUCGCUAAAGGUCCAUCCAUGAGGGAUACAGCCACGUCCCGGUCACCGCCGCCGCGCGCCCGAUCUCCUCUGCCUCCAGAAUCCUAGUCGCGCCCCGAUCUUCUCGGCCUCCUGUAUCCCGGUCGUGUCCCCGUCCCCGCUGUGGCGGCCGGAUUCCUGACGUUGCGACUGGAUCACACCGCGUCCUGCCCAUCCACUGUCCCACCGUCAACACCUUCCUUUUCCAACGAUGGUGAUGCCGCCCAAGAUGGUGGUUGUGCCCCCGCUCUCUGGACGCAUCAUCACGAUAGAUGUGACCAAAGGGCAGCACGAACAGGAAGCGAAAAGCCUCCUCCUGCAGCAGCGGAGGCGAUUGGGAUGGAGCCGCUGCCACCAUUCCCCCGCCACUCUGUUUUCCCGACAAAUUCCAUGUCAUUUUCAGAGCUUCAAGUGAAUGGAGGUCGAAGGGUGCUUUAGGAAAUUAUUGUGGUGGUCACGGGGACGUCAUGCCAAAGUGUUCACCAUGUCCAAUUAUUGAUAGCUGGAAGACAUAAGUCAGGUGGCUUUUCUUGUUCGGAAUUUACUCUAUGGUCUCAUUAACAUGUUUGCAAGCUCUGUAGUAUACAACUUAUGGUUUUCCCUGCGGAAUUGCUUCCUUUACUUGUGCAAGAGGCAGAGGUGCACUCCUCUACAUGGGAGCAUGUGUACUUCUUCGGGUCACAACAAUUCAUAUGCAUACUAGCUGCAGAAUGGCGAAGCCACCAAGAAUGCAGAAACUAGCUCAUAUGUUGCGAGGAAUCACAGACCUAAUAACACAAUGCUGUCAUGAGAACGGGGCGCUCUCAUGAGGGACAUGGAGGGCCAGGGAGGUGCAAAGAUCCAUGAAACAUGUAUUGCCGUCCUCAGCGAUAUAUCAUCUUUCUAACACUUUCUUGUUCGAGUUAAUCUUUUGGUUUUCUACUGUUCCAGUUGUAUCUCCAUGGAUCUGGAAGUAUUUGUAUUGAUGAAAGGUGUCAAGUAUUCUUGGUAUGUAUCAUUGACAACAACAGUUUUGCACUAUAUGUAAUGAGCUUUCCUAACACCGUUGAGUGAGCUA
rnacentral:rRNA from 1 species